rnacentral:rRNA from 1 species
AGCGGCAGACGGGUGAGUAACGCGUGGGAACGUACCUUUUGGUUCGGAACAACACAGGGAAACUUGCGCUAAUACCGGAUAAGCCCUUACGGGGAAAGAUUUAUCGCCGAAAGAUCGGCCCGCGUCUGAUUAGCUAGUUGGUGAGGUAAUGGCUCACCAAGGCGACGAUCAGUAGCUGGUCUGAGAGGAUGAUCAGCCACAUUGGGACUGAGACACGGCCCAAACUCCUACGGGAGGCAGCAGUGGGGAAUAUUGGACAAUGGGGGCAACCCUGAUCCAGCCAUGCCGCGUGAGUGAUGAAGGCCCUAGGGUUGUAAAGCUCUUUUGUGCGGGAAGAUAAUGACGGUACCGCAAGAAUAAGCCCCGGCUAACUUCGUGCCAGCAGCCGCGGUAAUACGAAGGGGGCUAGCGUUGCUCGGAAUCACUGGGCGUAAAGGGUGCGUAGGCGGGUCUUUAAGUCAGGGGUGAAAUCCUGGAGCUCAACUCCAGAACUGCCUUUGA